AUUGUAAGGGUUUCAGCACGCAGUUACAAACAGCCAAAUGCUUCUGAUAGACCUAAACAUCUAGGUGAUUCAGCAGCAGCAGCUGAGACUCUGUAUAAUAAAAUUUGCAGGUAAAAGUUCUUUAACAUUAUCAUUUCAGUACUCUAAUUGAAUUGCCUCACCAAAUAAGUGUCAUGUGUUGCAUAAGUGGUCUUUCACUAAACAAAUAGUCAUUUGGGUAAUUAGGUUUGAGAACUUUGGUGAUUAGUAUAUCUUCUAAUUUGAUUUUCUUCUUGGCAGCUUCAUGGCCUUUCUAAUUUUAUAAUUUUGCUUAUUGAAUUCUUGCAUCUUAGGACAAUCUCUGACUCUGAUCUGUACUCAGUGAAUAAGUUUGUUUUGUUUUGCGUCAGACCUUAUGAGUAGCCUAAUUCAUGGGGUAAUCUUAGACUUAACUGUUGACACACACAUACAUAGAUAAAAGAAUAUAUUAGAUGAAAAGAGAAAAUAUAAACAUAGGGGAAACAACUAGUCCACCUUAUAAAAGUGAAAAAAUACAAACAUAAAAUAAUAAAUUAAAGAAAAAACAUCUCUCCUUAUAAAGAUCAAAAACUGUAAAUUUUCUAAAACUCAAUGGUCCAUAUACAUACAGUAUAAUUUAUAAUUAACAAUCUUUUUCUUUUUCUUUGCUUUUCAUUUUUUCUAAUGUCUUUUUUAAGAGAUUUAUUUAAAGCAUUAACAACACAUGUAAUAAGAUUUAUAUGUUUUUUAGGAGGAGAAGUUACAAUAUAAAAGUGAUGUAUGAUAAGAUUUAUUUCAAAAGUGAAUCUAACAAGAAUAUGCAACUUCUAUUUUAGCCCUAAAAAAAAAUCAAGUGAGUAGGUAAGUGCUAUUCAAAUUCUUUUAUUUAAUAAAAACUUUUUCAGUAGUAUUAAACUCUUGGUGUCUUGUUAUGUAUAUUUGGUAGCCUAAUAUUUUUUGAUAUAUUUGCCUUACACUCUUUGGUGCAUUGCUUUAUUUCAUUGGGAUGAAGAACUCAAUUCCAAAGAAGCAAAUUCAAAAAAAGACCACCACACCAAAGACACUCAAAUCUUUGGAAGAUAUGAUAUUGAAUUUUUUAAGCAGUGUUUAAAUUUCAGCAUGUAACAUGGGUUGUGUUGGGUACCAAUACUCAGCCAUAUAUAAUGAUGUGCAAUUCUAACCUUAAAUGGUAUCAUUUUCCCUUUUUCUUUCUUUUCUUUCAGUCAUCAGAAAAGUUUUUUAAAGUGUUACUUGGUUAUUGUUUCGCUAUUUUUCAAGAGUAUUGAGUUAGUAGAACCAUUUAAAAAAAUUAUAGUGAUUAAGAUUUUAAAACCAGUUAAAGUGAUAAACAUAUGAAUAUGUAUACCAAUGAAGCUGAUGUGGUAUUCAAGUUUUAUGAAUAUAAUUUCAAUAGUUUGUAUGGGCCAUAAGCUAUUGAUCAUACUUCUUUUGGAUGUAAAAAUAUUUAUAAUUUAAGAUCAGACUAUCAGUUGCCACCCAACAUUUCUAAAGGUUCUUUCAUCAAGUAAAAAAGUUUCCAAUUCUCAUCAAUACAAACCAUAAAGUACAUACAUUCUACUAAAACAGUCCUAUCAACAAAGACAUUAAGACAGAAAGUAAACCACAUGCAAUCCCCAUCAUUAUGUUAUGAAUCUGUGCACUUCCAAAAUAAGCCUUCAAAUACUUCAGAUUAAUACUUCUUCUAAAAUAGAAUACCAUUUAAAUACAACAUACUCACAAAACAUUUAUUACGAAAACAAAACAACAAUCAUUAUAUAUAUAUAUAUAUAUAUAAACACAGAUAAGUAAAAAUCAAGUUAAAGAAAGAUCUAAGUUAAAUAAAGGAUCGAGAACCUACUGGGAUGGUUGGAUCCAUAGUUAUGCAAGGCCGGCGAUGAUCGGAGGUAAAUCACGGACUGAAAUCGAAAAAACGAGAAACCACCCAAUAGAAUAGUCGCAUAAAUUGCAACCACCCAUAUGCAAAUCCCUAACAUGACGCUAAAAUUCACACACCAGCGACUUCAACAAAUCGAUUACGAUGAUGGAAUUCCCCCUUAUUAGUCGGAAAAAAUAAACGCCGGCGAA
rnacentral:lncRNA from 1 species